rnacentral:rRNA from 1 species
UGGGGGAUAUUGCACAAUGGGCGAAAGCCUGAUGCAGCGACGCCGCGUGGGGGAUGAAGGCUUUCGGGUUGUAAACCUCUUUCGCUAUCGAACAAGGCCCGCUUAGGGUGGGUUGAGGGCAGGUGGAGAAGAAGCGCCGGCUAACUACGUGCCAGCAGCCGCGGUAAUACGUAGGGCGCGAGCGUUGUCCGGAAUUAUUGGGCGUAAAGGGCUUGUAGGCGGCUUGGUGCGCCUGCUGUGAAAACGCGGGGCUUAACUUCGCGCGUGCAGUGGGUACGGGCAGGCUUGAGUGUGGUAGGGGUGACUGGAAUUCCAGGUGUAGCGGUGGAAUGCGCAGAUAUCUGGAGGAACACCGAUGGCGAAGGCAGGUCACUGGGCCAUUACUGACGCUGAGGAGCGAAAGCAUGGGUAGCGAACAGG